rnacentral:rRNA from 1 species
GGCCGUUGACAAAACGGGAGGAAGGUGGGGAUGACGUCAAAUCAUCAUGCCCCUUAUGUUCUGGGCUACACACGUGCUACAAUGGCCGGUACAGACGGACGCAAAGCCGCGAGGUGGAGCAAAUCCCUAAAAAAGCCGGUCUCAGUUCGGAUUGCAGGCUGCAAUUCGCCUGCAUGAAGUCGGAAUCGCUAGUAAUCGCAGGUCAGCAUACUGCGGUGAAUACGUUCCCGGGCCUU